GGCACUUUGUCUCUGGCCUGCUGUUUUGUUAUUCUCAGGUUGGAAACUGGCUCAGUAAAAACCUGUUAACAAGUUACAUGAAAUUGAAAAGCUUUUUCACGGACAAGAUCAAUGCAGUUAGGUUAAGAGAGUAAACUAUCAAAUAGGGAAAAAAUGACUAUAUAAAAUAUCACUGAAAAAAGUCUGAUAUCUAAGAUAUAUAGGGAAUUAGCACAAAUACCCAAGAUUAAGAGUCAGUGAUCAAAGAAUAUGAGCAGAGGUUUAAGAAAAGAAGAAAUUAUUAACAACAAUAUGAAAGAUUGCUCAAAAUAAUGAAAGGUAUACUCAUUAAAACAAUUCACAGAAUUCAUCUUACAAUCACCAAAUGGUAACAGAGAAUUAAAAACAAAUAGGACUAGUCCAUGUUGGAAGGACUGCAAGACAGGGACCCUGAUAUAAUGCUGGCGGAACUCGGAAUUUGUUCAACCAUUCUGGAGAAACAAUUUGGAAUUAUGAGAUAAAAGUCAGUAAGCUGUUCAUACCUUUUGAUCGAUAGAUCCCACUUCUGAAUAUAUAUGCUGAAGAGAUCAAAGAGAAAUUUAGACAAUUAAUUUAGUUGUUUAGAAAUUUAGGCAACAAUUUAGACACUGUUAUUGACUCCUUUUCUGUGAUUUGGUCUUACUUUUUCAAAGACCAGCUCCCGAAGACAACGUCAUUAUACUAUAAGAAAUGAUGACUAUAAAGAAUUAAGAGAAACUAGGGAAAAUUUCUCUGAAUCAAUGAAGAAUCAGAAUGUAAUCAAUACAGAAUGAGAUCAACCCUCUAUACCUUAGUAGAGAGAGUUUCUAAGAGUUGGUAUGGCCAAAAGAAAAAAAAAGAAUAUAUCAUUCAGUGGUGAAUCUGGUCAUAGCCUCUCUGUGCUGGACUGGCCCUUGGAUGAAAAUCCUAUGUAAAAGAACUGGAAACUACAGGGGUGCCUAUCAAUUGAGG